rnacentral:rRNA from 1 species
AUACGGAGGGUGCAAGCGUUAUUCGGAAUCACUGGGCGUAAAGGACGCGUAGGCGGGUUGGCAAGUCAGAUGUGAAAUCCUACAGCUUAACUGUAGAACUGCAUUUGAAACUGCUAACCUAGAGUAUGGGAGGGGGAGAUGGAAUUAGUGGAGUAGGGGUAAAAUCCGUAGAUAUCACUAGGAAUACCGAAAGCGAAGGCGAUCUCCUGGAACAUAACUGACGCUAAGGCGUGAAAGCGUGGGGAGCAAACAGGAUUAGAAACCCCAGUAGUCC